ensembl:lncRNA
GAAAAGUGUUGUUGAAUGUUGACUCGCAGGAUCUAAUCUACUCUCAUCCUUAUCAAAACCCAUGAUUUAAACUGGAAUAGGAGUCUCAGUGGACAAUUUUUCAAGGCAACACAAAGCCUUGCCCCCACCUGACCAAUGAGCUUCAACACUGCAGCAACAUGGUGUGCACUGUUUAAGACCAUUCCAACCCAUCAAGUCACAUCGGGGGGAAACCAAAGGUCCUGUUCUGCUAUAACACCACGCCUCACCAGGUCACAGGAGAGUCUCCCUUCUUUCUGAUGUUCGACCGUGACCCCGGGCUCCCUGUUGACUUUUUGUUGGGUCGAGUCCGUGACCCUGUACCCGGGAAAGUACAAG